UACGUAGGGGGCAAGCGUUGUCCGGAAUUAUUGGGCGUAAAGAGCGUGUAGGCGGUCCGGUAAGUCAGCUGUGAAAGUCAAGGGCUCAACCCUUGAAAGCCGGUUGAUACUGUCGGGCUAGAGUCCGGAAGAGGCGAGUGGAAUUCCCGGUGUAGCGGUGAAAUGCGCAGAUAUCAGGAGGAACACCAUGGCGAAGGCAGCUCGCUGGGACGGUACUGACGCUGAGACGCGAAAGCGUGGGGAGCAAACAGG
rnacentral:rRNA from 1 species